rnacentral:lncRNA from 1 species
AUGCAGCGGUCUGACAUCAGGAACCUAGGGUUUCCCUGGGAGUUCAACUUCUUGGGUGUUAGGGGUCCCAAUGACAGCAGCAGCUGUGGGUACAGAAAUAAAGUAAGAAGAUGCUUACAUUCAGAAGGCCUCAGGAGAAAACAGGACAGAAGACCUGAACUGAAGCCUUGGCACUGUUGCCAGUGGCAGCACAAUGCUGCCAGCUUCUUCUCUCUUUCCUAUUGCUAAUGGAGCAAAAGAGAAGCGAAAUGGGAUCCUCGUUCUUACUUUUUCCUCCAGAUUAAGGUAUGUAGUGAUAUGAUCCACAGUACAUGGCAAAGUUACUGCUGCAGUGCUGAGCACCAUUCAGAGGCCAGAAAAUUGGGUGGCUGGGUUUUUAUGCUCUCGGUAGUGUAAGUGUUGGAAUUGUUCCUGCCUGAGAGCUGCAGGAAAUCCUAUUGUACAUUCAGGGAUUGCACUCCUGUGAAUGGCACUGAGCUGGUGUGAUUCAGGUAUCAUAGCAACCUCUAUGAAUCACUAUCUUUGUUUAUCUGUGACUUGAUUUUAUAAAAAAACAGCUGGCUUUGGGCCCGGCCUUCCACUUUGCACUGAAGUGAACAGAAGGGCUGCAGGAGUGGUCCCACCAGCUUCAGCAUGAGUCACAGUGGGAGAAUCAGCUCCUUUUGUACUGACUUCUCUGCAGCAGGAACUGUUUCAUGCCAUAUGUCUGCAUAGGGAUUACCACUCACUGAGUUUGUGACAAUUAUUAAUUUUUAAUAAUUAAAAGGCUAAUUUUUGCAAUUACAUGGGGACUAAGGAAAUAUCACUUGAAAAAAUCCUUCCCAAAUAUGUUACUCUAAAAUAAAUGAAUAACUAAAGGAAGUGAUUUGUGGAGU